rnacentral:rRNA from 1 species
AAUCAACGCUGGCGGCGUGCCUAACACAUGCAAGUCGAACGCGAAAGCCCCGCAAGGGGUAAGUAGAGUGGCGCACGGGUGAGUAACACGUGGAUAACCUGCCUUAGAGUGGGGAAUAACCUUCCGAAAGGGGGACUAAUACCGCAUAACACCUUUCGACAAAAGUCAAAGGGUUAAAAGGAGCAAUUCGCUCGAAGAGGGGUCCGCGCGUGAUUAGCUAGUUGGUGAGGUAACGGCUCACCAAGGCUUCGAUCAGUAGCCGUCCUGAGGGGGAGCACGGCCACACUGGAACUGAGACACGGUCCAGACUCCUACGGGAGGCAGCGGUGGGGAAUUUUUGGCAAUGGGCGAAAGCCUGACCAAGCAACGCCGCGUGGGUGAUGAAGUAUCUUGGUACGUAAAACCCUUUCGGCAGGGACGAACUCAAUGACGGUACCUGCGGAAGAAGCCCCGGCUAACUCCGUGCCAGCCGCCGCGGUAAAAC